rnacentral:rRNA from 2 species
GUGCGAGACCGAUAGCGAACAAGUACCGUGAGGGAAAGAUGAAAAGAACUUUGAAAAGAGAGUUAAAGAGUACCUGAAACUGCUGAAAGGGAACCGAAUCGUUUCCAGUGUCUAUAAUCUAUGGCAUAUUUCAUUGGCGUGUGGAUGUGUGCGGCGUUUUGGAAGUAGUUUUCUGCUCCUGGCGUUGUUUUGCGUUCGCCUGCUGGUGCCCUGUGCUGUAGUGGGACGUCAGAGUCAGUUCGUAUACUGCGGGAAAUGGUUACUGGGGAGGUAGGUCACUUCGGUGGCUGUUAUAUCCUGGUGACUAGUCGUCGUGGUUGGGACUGAGGUGCCUAC